UACGGGGGGGGCAAGCGUUGUUCGGAAUUAUUGGGCGUAAAGGGCCUGUAGGCGGCCAACUAAGUCGGAUGUGAAAUCCCCAGGCUCAACUUGGGAACUGCAUCCGAUACUGGAUGGCUUGAAUUCGGGAGAGGGAUGCAGAAUUCCAGGUGUAGCGGUGAAAUGCGUAGAUAUCUGGAGGAAUACCGGUGGCGAAGGCGGCAUCCUGGACCGACAUUGACGCUGAACGGCGAAAGCUAGGGGAGCAAACGGG
rnacentral:rRNA from 1 species